AGAACGAACGCUGGCGGCAUGCCUAAUACAUGCAAGUCGAACGAACUCUUCGGAGUUAGUGGCGCACGGGUGCGUAACGCGUGGGAAUCUGCCCCUUGGUUCGGAAUAACAGUUGGAAACGACUGCUAAUACCGGAUGAUGACGAAAGUCCAAAGAUUUAUCGCCAAGGGAUGAGCCCGCGUAGGAUUAGCUAGUUGGUGAGGUAAAGGCUCACCAAGGCAACGAUCCUUAGCUGGUCUGAGAGGAUGAUCAGCCACACUGGGACUGAGACACGGCCCAGACUCCUACGGGAGGCAGCAGUAGGGAAUAUGGACAAUGGGCGAAAGCCUGAUCCAGCAAUGACCGCGUGAGUGAUGAAGGCCUUAGGGUUAGUAAAGUCUCGUUUACCCGAGAUGAUAAUGACAGUUAGUCGGAGAAGUAAGCCCGACUAACGUCCGUCGACCAGCAGCCGUAC
rnacentral:rRNA from 1 species